GAUGAACGCUGGCGGCGUGCCUAAUACAUGCAAGUCGAACGACAGCACUGUAAGAUCGUGCUCUUGCGGUUAGCGAUUGACGGAUGAGUGACGAAUGGAUCAGCAACUACUUUGUCUUGGGUGAUAACGUGGGGCAGCAUACGCUAAUACAUCAUAUGAUCUACCGUAUCAAUCAACAGAGCAUGGUAACUUUGUCGAUUGUAUUAGCCGAAUCCGCGUUGCAUUAGCUAGUUGGUAAGGUAACGGCUUACCAAGGCAACGAUGCGUAGCUGAACUGAGAGGGUGAUCGGCCACACUGGAACUGAGACACGGUCCAGACUCCUACGGGAGGCAGCAGUAGGGAAUAUUGCACAAUGGGCGAAAGCCUGAUGGAGCAACGCCGCGUGGGUGAAGAAGGUCUUCGGAUCGUAAAGCCCUUUUGUUAGGGAAGAAAAGAAGUGGGAGUAACUCUGCACGUUUUGACGGUACCUAAACAGAAAGCCACGGCUAACUACGUG
rnacentral:rRNA from 1 species